rnacentral:rRNA from 1 species
AACGAACGCUGGCGGCAGGCUUAACACAUGCAAGUCGAACGCCCCGCAAGGGGAGUGGCAGACGGGUGAGUAACGCGUGGGAACGUACCUUUCGCUUCGGAAUAUUCCCGGGAAACUGGCAGCAAUGCCGAAUACGCCGGAUUGGGAAAGAUUUAUCGGCGAAAGAUCAGCCCGCGUUAGAUUAGGUAGUUGGCGGUGUAAUGGACCACCAAGCCUACGAUCUAUAGCUGGUCUGAGAGGAUGAUCAGCCACACUGGGACUGAGACACGGCCCAGACUCCUACGGGAGGCAGCAGUGGGGAAUCUUGGACAAUGGGCGAAAGCCUGAUCCAGCCAUGCCGCGUGAGUGAAGAAGGCCUUAGGGUUGUAAAACUCUUUCGCCGGAGAAGGUAAUGGCGGUAUCCGGAGAAGAAGCCCCGGCUAACUUCGUGCCAGCCGCCGCGGUAAUAC